ACAAGCGACAGCGGCGACUUGCAAUCGGAAUCUUCGCUCACUCCCCUUAGAGGGACGUCCGAGAUGAAAGAUUAAGAUCAAUUUAGCUUAACCGGAGGGAAGUUAAAAUAAUAAUAAUAAUAAGAGGGGAGGGUGGAGUUCAAGUGGAGCGGCGGGAAUCUUGAACUCCAAACGAGUACUGGUCACCUGCAGGGAGAGCGGCCAGGCUCCGGGCGCACCCCGGGAAGCGGGCACGGGUGGCGGUGUGGGAGGACACGAGCCGCCCAGGCCGGGCGGAUCGAGGUGAAAGCCCCAGGCUAGCGGUGUGCGCUGGGAGGUCCCCGGGGACGACUGAAUCGCAGGUUCCCAUGCCACGGGCGGGCUGGCGCGCGGUGGUGCCGGAGGCGUGACCCAGCCGCGCCCACGCCGCCAGCGGCUGCGCCCAAGGGAGCGCAGUAACCGUCCAGUCCCAGGACUUGGGCCUCCUAACCGUCUUGGCGCAGACCCGCGCCCCCUGACCCUGCUGAGGCCGGGAGGGCUGCAGGAUUGGAGUUAAACAAGCUGAGUCAGGUGGAGUUUGCUGUGGAGGCAAUGUGCGUGGGGGCAGGAGGCUGGACGAAGGAAACUUGCUGCUUAGGUCGUCGGUGACCCUUGUGGCAACUUAGGUCUCUGGCAGCCGAGUUGACCCCAACUUGAUUUGCCCCCAUGGCUGGGGCUGACUGAGACCAAAGGAAAAAGGUGGAGAGCUUUGCAGCCUGGAAAGAAAUACCACUUUACCCAUCAGAAAAGUACUCUUGCUUUGGGGCUCGCAAGAACAGAAUCAUUUCUGUCGUUUCCCUCCUUAGGAGUCUUGCCACCCCUGACCCGCCCCAGGAUUUGUAGAUGAGGUUUCCAGGAGCGCUGCUUAAAGCGACAGCGCCGGGCAGACCCACUUUGGGACAGGUACUGUUUCUAGACCUGUGUUCUGCUCUUAAUUCUUGCCGUUGCUCCCUCCUCCCCCAAUUACGCUAACAAUGCUUCAGCCUCUAUUGUUUUCGCGACCUUUUUAAAGUUAGAAUGACCUUUUCCCAAACUACACUUUUAUCAUAAAAUCAAACUUGAGAACUAUUUA
rnacentral:lncRNA from 1 species